rnacentral:SRP_RNA from 2 species
GUCGAGCUUGGUAACGCUAGCUUGUGACUCGAGUGAGGGCAUUAAGGUGGUGGAACAUUGCUUUGGCUGCGCUCGGUUGGGCUGUUUGCUGCUGUAUGCUGGCUUGCCCAUUUCAAGUUGGGAGCUGGCCAAUGGGUCUUAUGCGAAAGCGUGGGUCUCCUUGGUCCUAAACUGAAGGGUAAUGCGUGAGGCUGGUUUCACAGAGCAGCGAAUACUUUCGGUUCCUGUCAGUGGAGGGAGGGAUAACAAGCUGCUUAUGCGUUCAGCCCACACAUAAACUGAGUGUGCCUAGCAUAUGAACCACCACUUUU